rnacentral:rRNA from 1 species
GACGAACGCUGGCGGCGUGCUUAACACAUGCCAGUCGAACGGUAAGGUCCCAGCUUGCUGGGGUACACGAGUGGCGAACGGGUGAGUAACACGUGGGUGACCUGCCCCGCACUUCGGGAUAAGCCUGGGAAACUGGGUCUAAUACCGGAUAGGACCGCACCGUGAGGGUGUGGUGGAAAGUUUUUCGGUGUGGGAUGGGCCCGCGGCCUAUCAGCUUGUUGGUGGGGUAAUGGCCUACCAAGGCGGCGACGGGUAGCCGGCCUGAGAGGGUGGACGGCCACAUUGGGACUGAGACACGGCCCAGACUCCUACGGGAGGCAGCAGUGGGGAAUAUUGCACAAUGGGCGGAAGCCUGAUGCAGCGACGCCGCGUGGGGGAUGACGGCCUUCGGGUUGUAAACUCCUUUCACCAUCGACGAAGGUUUUCUGACGGUAGAUGGAGAAGAAGCACCGGCUAACUACGUG